CUUGAAACCAUAUAAGAGGUCCAGCCUGCCCAGUGACUAAGUUCAACGGCCGCGGUAUCCUAACCGUGCGAAGGUAGCGUAAUCACUUGUUCUUUAAAUGAGGACUAGUAUGAAUGGCACCACGAGGGUUAUACUGUCUCCUUUCUCUAAUCAAUGAAACUGAUCUCCCCGUGAAGAAGCGGGGAUAAAUUUAUAAGACGAGAAGACCCUAUGGAGCUUUAAACUACGUGACACUGGCUUAUAUUCUACUGUGUUUCAGAAUUAUUACAAUUAUACUAGCUAGUAUGAUUACUAGUUUUAGGUUGGGGUGACCACGGAGCAAAAAUUAACCUCCAUGAUGAACGGAACCUAUUCCUGAGCUAAAAGCUACAACUUUAAGCACUAACAAAUUAACAUUAAUUGACCCAAAAUAUUGAUCAACGAAC
rnacentral:rRNA from 1 species